rnacentral:rRNA from 1 species
AUAUCAGUCAUGCAUAGCAUAUCAAUAAGCGGAGGAAAAGAAACUAACAAGGAUUCCCCUAGUAACGGCGAGUGAAGCGGGAAGAGCUCAAAUUUGAAAUCUUAAAAGGUUUUCCUUUUACGAAUUGUAGUUUAAAGAAGUGUUUUCUGUUAAAAUUUUAGUAAAAGUUCUUUGGAAUAGGACAUCAUAGAGGGUGAGAAUCCCGUAUUUGACUAGAAUUUUUCAACUUUGUGAUACACUUUCAAAGAGUCGGAUUGUUUGGGAAUGCAGUCCAAAAGUGGGUGGUAAAUUUCAUCUAAAGCUAAAUAUUGGCGAGAGACCGAUAGCGAACAAGUACCGUGAGGGAAAGAUGAAAAGAACUUUGAAAAGAGAGUUAAAUAGUACGUGAAAUUGUCAAAAGGGAAGCGUUUGGCACCAGUGUUGUUUUUCUAAAAAUCAAUUUAAAAUUUGCUUAUGCUAAGUUUUUUAGACUUAAUCGGCUAAUAAUUUAGUUUUUUGUAAUUUUUGAAUGCACUUUUUAGUUAACAAGUCAACAUCAAUUUCUUUUGUUGUAAAAGAAUAAGAGGAAGGUGGCUUGGAAUUCUUUUCAAGUGUUUAUAGCCUUUUAUUUCUGCAAUAGGAGGGAUUGAGGUCUGCAGCAUAGAUCCUUCGGGGCUAGAUGCAUUUUCGCUAAGAGUCAGUAUUAUAUAAACAACUUGUUGAUUAUGUAGUAUGUUGAUUUUUACUCGGGAGUGUUAUUUUACCUACGCUUAGGAUGUUGACGCAUGAGAUAUACGC